rnacentral:ncRNA from 1 species
UACGAAUCAGGUGCCCUUGGGCUUAAUAGAGAAGUCCGGUGUGAUUCCGGCGCGGUCCCGCCGCUGUAUGGUUGAGCACGGCUGCAAGUAUGUCACUGUAGGUUACUAUGGGAAGACGCAGUACGUGUCAUGACACUUAGUCAGAAGAACUGCCUGAUUUCA